UUUUGGAGCUGAUGGGCCUUUAGGCACCACAGAUCCCAACUCUCUUUCCCCCUGUUCUUUUCCCAUGAGACCGUGGAGGUGUGCCGCCCUGGGAGUUAGGGGCAGGGCCCACCUUCUGCUCGGCCUCAGUCUGCCAGGAGGGGUGGGAGCCGAAUGAAAAGAUUCUUUCCGAAGGCACAUCUCAGUCCGUACCAGGAGUAACUACCGCUUACCUGCUCAAUGCUGUGCCGCCCUUCUCUUCUCCCGCAUAAUCGACCUGGCAACCUACAACGAUCAACUCUCCGGCCCUGUUAAGAGAAGUCUCCUACCCACUUCUAACCACAUUGCCAGAAGUCUUCCCUCUCCGGAUGGGGACUCGCAGGAUCCCAUCCAGGACACCACAUUCCAAUUAGUCAUCGAAUCUCCUUAAGCUCCUCUGGGCCGUGAUAAUUUCUCAGACUUCCCUUGUUUUUGAUGGAGUACUGGUCAGGUAUUUGGUAGAUGGUCCCUCA